UACAGAGGUCUCGAGCGUUGCGCGGAAUCAUUGGGCUUAAAGGGUGCGUAGGCGGAAACGCGGGUGUUUUGUGAAAGCCCCCGGCUCAACCGGGGAACUGCAGGGCAAACUUCGUUUCUUGAGGCUGGUAGGCGCCGCCGGAACUGUAGGUGUAGCGGUGAAAUGCGUAGAUAUCUACAGGAACGCCGAUGGUGAAGACGGGCGGCUGGGCCAGUUCUGACGCUGAGGCACGAAAGCGUGGGGAGCAAACAGG
rnacentral:misc_RNA from 1 species